rnacentral:misc_RNA from 1 species
UCCCUUCAGUUUUCUGCAAAAGAGGAAAUAUAUGGGCAUAUAAAUUGAUACGGACAUCAGUUUUCAGCAAAAUAGUUGAUGUAUUUGCUAAACUAAACAUUCUCCAUUUGCAUCCAUCCCCCGCAACAUUAAGAUUGAACAUCAGACCUCAAACCAAUGAAAUUGGUAGUUUUAAGUGACAAUAACAUUAUCUAUGACACUAAUCACUAGCCACGCAACAUGUACUUGAGGAAUUCAAGUAGGAUCCAUAAUCAGCUUGGAUUUGAGAUUUUGAGGUAAGGAAUUUUUAUUUUGAAACCCAAAGUAAGCUAAUUGAUAACAACUCAUUGCAUC